rfam:Nelumbo nucifera unplaced genomic scaffold scaffold00002, whole genome shotgun sequence
ACCUACUUGACUCAACAGUUAGAGUAUCGCUUUCAUGCGGCGAGAGUCAUUGGUUCAAAUCCAGUAGUAGGUA